GCCCCGUUAGCUCAGUGGCAGAGCGUGUCCAUCUCUUAUGGCAAGGCACUGGUUCGAUUCCAGUACGGGGCA
rnacentral:tRNA from 3 species